AUGCAAAUAGUGUUUGUUUGCUUUACUUCUCAGGCCUGGCCAGGAAACCUUCAAGUAGCAGCACUUUCCCUCCUAAGCAGGAAGGAAAAACUUCUCUCAGUAACCAAGAACGACCUAGACCUGCUGGAAGCUCUCAGCAGUGAGAGAUUUGUUGAGGUCUCAGGAGCUGCGAGUCCUCGUAUUCUUGCUUUUGUUCCCCCAGAUUUCCAACUGGUUUCAAAUUCUGCAAUUUUGACAUUUUCCUUCCUCAUGGACUGGGAAGAUGAUGCUGGCUGCCAGAAGGUAGGAUGGAAAUUCUCAGGGAAGAGAAAACUUCACAAAGGUCCAUUUCGGACCUUACGUUUUCAUAUUUUGAAUAUCAGGCAGAAAUAUCUGAUGGUGAAAAUUCCCCCAGGUUCACUGUUAUUUUUUCCCUCGUUCUGGAGUUUAACAUAGUCAGUGAUUUUUCUUCCUGCUGCUUCCCACCCACAAAAUAACUUUUAUUUAUUCCCACCUUAAAAAUAAAAGAAGGAUUUUUUUUUUUUUCCAGUGCCCCACCCCUGCCUUAUGAUUUUUAAAUUGCAAAUCUUCUGGCUUUAUUUUCUAUUAUUUUAAACAAUAAAAUUGUAUUUUUUUCACACAGAAAUGUAUUUUGGAUGAAAUACUGUUCCUCUCUGGAAAUCUCCUGCCUCCAAAUUCAUGGAUUUGCUCCUAAUGCCACUGAAAUUGUUUAAUGAAUUUAAAAUUCGUUUAAGUAGAUAAAGUGAGCUGGGAGAGUCAUUAAAAGACAGGGUUUUCCUUGACGGUAGUAAAAGAUUUGGGAACAGAUCCUGACUGGGCCUAACAACUGCAACCAGGUGGGAAAGUGGCCCGUGAGCUGGGAGACGGGAGAAAAUCAGCGCUGGGAAGAGGCACUUCGAAGCCCCAAAUAAAAGUCCCACAGGGAGCCCUGGGAUGGGGCAGGGAGCCCUCCCGAGCCUUGUGGGGUUGCAUCGGGGCUUUCUUUAGCAAAAGCAGUCGCAAACAGGGCCCAGGAUGGCUUUAUGUGCCAUCUAGUUCAGAAGCAGGGAGGGGGGGGGAAACAUAUAACAUUUUCUCUUGCCUCCCACAUAGCCUGAGUAAAGGGUUAGAGAUUUGCCUCAAAUAAUAUUAUCUCGCUGCUUCUCUGCUCUGAGCUUUAACCUUUCCAGAUUUUCCCAUUAAAAUACUUGGAGGGGAGAAACGAAACAAGGGCUUAAAAAAUAGGAGCCGCAUGACCUGUGACAGUCAGCCCUUCAUUGGGGUGGGAUGCCCCAGCGCUGGGUUUGGGAUGUGGGUGAUUGCAGUGGCCUCUUUGAGGUCUGUCGUUACUGAAAGUCCUCUCCCUUCUUCUGUUCUUUAGGUUAUAGCAACCGUGUGGCUCAGCCUGCCCUUGCUGCUGUCCCCUUGCCUGCCUAACCUGGGCUCUGCUUUUCAUUUGUCCCCAGUGUCUUCAGGAAGUUUUUUUGUCUUUAGCUCCCACUUUUCAAGACUGAGCUAAACGCAUGAUUUUGGCAUUGCUAUUUAGUGAGUGUCUCACUUGGACUCUGCUCGAAUUUCUACAUCUUCACAACAGGGCUGACACUAAUUGCCUAUUUGCAAUGUAUUUCCAGACGCGUGGCUGCAGAGUGCUAUAUGAAAAAACAGGCAUUGUUAUUAUGAAACUUUCAGGGAAAAAAAAAAAUUAAUAGAUUCAAAUAACUCCAUGGUCAUUAAAACAAACCUUAUGUGGAUGGAGGAGACCAGAGCUGAAUAAACCUUGAGCAAACACAGCCUUUCAAUAUGAAACACACACUGGUUUUAAUCAGCGGUGCCAAAUAAGUUUUAUUUUCCGAGGUUUCUUUUCCCCUCAUCUCCUUCUUUCAAUAUUAUCAGUUGCAGAAGGGGAACAUUGCCCGGCUCCUGCUCUUAAUGAGUAUCAUUUUUAAAAAACAACAACAAAAUGCUCUGCUUGGGCUGGCCAAGUCUCAAGUUGCUUUCGGCUCCACUAGGAUCUCAGCCAGCCUUUGUGAGCAUGUCGUCCCGAAUUUAAAGCACCUCUAUUUUUCCCCAGAUUUUGGACAAAAUUGGGUUCAAAGCCCCACCAGCCAGGAGGGGAGCGCCGCCGACCACUGCCUUGCGUUCGCUUCCUUUAGGGCAGCCACGAAGCCAUUUUUCAUCCUGCCUCACCAAAGCCUCUCCGGUGUUUGUUUGGGAGACAGAAAUAGCUUUCUGCUAGGAGGAUGAUGAGGUUACACAUCCUGAGCCGUCACGGUGAAUCAACAGCCUGGAGCGGGGAGCUGCUGGGGCUGCUGGCUGCCUGCAAGGCGGGGAGUGGGAAUGGCCCUCGGAGGGGAGCGCGGCGUCCCUGGGGACAUCUCGGGGCUUUUCGGUGCCCUGGCUCCUCCACGAGGCUGGCAGCUCAGCCCUGAGGAUGCCACCAGCCCUGCAUGAGGGACAGCCUCCAACUGGCAGGGACAGGAGGAAAGGGGAACGUGCCUUCUGAUUUUGUCUUGCUAUUCUCACACCAAAUCCAAGCUCACCACUGGGGGAGGAAUUUGGAGGCAGCAGCUUGUACGCUGCAAAGGCUGGGAGAAAAUGGUGCAGCCAGCUCCUUGCUAACACACACCUAAUUUUUAGUAAAAGCUGUGAUGUCUGCUGACAAGUUGGUUUGUAGGUGCUCAAUUCAGCAACAAGGCUAACAGCUGAUGAUCGCAGAGGUCUUUUCCAACCUAAAUGCUUCUACGUCUUGCAAUGAGAUACGUGGAGGAGGGCUUUUGGGUGAUACUUGGCUCAGGCUCAUUCCUGCAUGGGAAGUCCUGAGCCUACUUUCCCUGUCUGGAAUAAACGAGCACCCUCCUGCUAAUGCCAUCAGGCCCUGUGACCAUGAGCUAGGCUCAGACGUGCUCUCGGUGGCUGCAGCAGCACAAAGUUGUGUAAUUCAUUGGCAAAAGUGCCUGUGCGUCUUGUUCCCUGGUUGUGGGUGUAGGUCCAAAUCAGUAAUGGUAUUUUUUUCACCUUCUCCUUUGUAAUUUCACCAGAUUGUAGACAUGUAGUGUAGACAUGAUUCCACGUAAAUAUAUUUUGUCCUCAACUAAGCUGAGUCCAUCAGGCUGCAUUUGUUGCUGGUGAAGAUUGUGCACAGAGACGUGCGGUAACUUCUAAGCAGCUGCCAGCUCCUGGUGAUGCUGAGCUCCCCGCUUCUCAGCUCAGCUGGCCAACGUUUCUGUGCUAAAACCGGUGAUGUUGGGUUCAGAUAUAACCCAGCCUGAGGUCUCUAACAGUGGCACAGACAUUCCCUGUCAACAAAUACUCUCAAACAGUGACGACAGUGCCCUAAAGCAAUUUCCUUCUGAAGCUGCUGGAGGUGACGGCUGACUCAGAAAAGCUUGGGAGCCUCCAGAUUCUUCGGCUGGGUGGGAUGUGC
rnacentral:lncRNA from 1 species